CCUACGGGAGGCAGCAGUGAGGAAUAUUGGUCAAUGGGCUUACGCCUGAACCAGCCAAGUCGCGUGAGGGAAGACUGCCCUAUGGGUUGUAAACCUCUUUUGUCAGGGAGCAACGCCGGCUACGUGUAGCCGGACUGAGAGUACCUGAAGGAAAAGCAUCGGCUAACUCGGUGCCAGCAGACGCGGCAAUACGGAGGAUGCGAGCGUUGUACGGAUGUAGUGGGUUUAAAGGGGGCGUAGGCGGAAUGCCAAGUCAGCGGUAAAAGCGCGGGGCUCAACCUCGCUCCGCCGUUGAAACUGGCGUUCUUGAGUGGGGGAGAGGUAUGCGGAAUUCGUGGUGUAGCGGUGAAAUGCAUAGAUAUCACGAAGAACACCGAUGGCGAAGGCAGCAUAUCGGCGCACAACUGACGCUGAGGCACGAAAGCGUGGGUAUCGAACAGGAUUAGAUACCCCGGUAGUC
rnacentral:rRNA from 1 species